rnacentral:tRNA from 1 species
GUGUGGUAGUAUAAUUUUAAUACAUUUUGUUUACACCAAAAUACUCAUCGAAGAUGUCACGCUU